GACGAACGCUGGCGGCGUGCUUAACACAUGCAAGUCGAGCGGUAAGGCCCUUUCGGGGGUACACGAGCGGCGAACGGGUGAGUAACACGUGGGUGACCUGCCCUUAGCUCUGGGAUAAGCCUGGGGAACUGGGUCUAAUACCGGAUAUGACUCCAUGACGCAUGCUGUGGGGUGGAAAGCCUUGUGCGGCUAGGGAUGGGCCCGCGGCCUAUCAGCUUGUUGGUGGGGUGAUGGCCUACCAAGGCGACGACGGGUAGCCGGCCUGAGAGGGCGACCGGCCACACUGGGACUGAGACACGGCCCAGACUCCUACGGGAGGCAGCAGUGGGGAAUCUUGCGCAAUGGGCGAAAGCCUGACGCAGCGACGCCGCGUGGGGAUGACGGCCUCGG
rnacentral:rRNA from 1 species